rnacentral:rRNA from 1 species
GAUGAACGCUGGCGGCGUGCCUAAUACAUGCAAGUCGAGCGAACAGACGAGGAGCUUGCUCCUCUGACGUUAGCGGCGGACGGGUGAGUAACACGUGGAUAACCUACCUAUAAGACUGGGAUAACUUCGGGAAACCGGAGCUAAUACCGGAUAAUAUAUUGAACCGCAUGGUUCAAUAGUGAAAGACGGUUUUGCUGUCACUUAUAGAUGGAUCCGCGCCGCAUUAGCUAGUUGGUAAGGUAACGGCUUACCAAGGCAACGAUGCGUAGCCGACCUGUGAGGGGGAUAGGGCCCCUGGGAAGUGGAGAGCCGUCCCGAGUCCUAAGGGAGGGCGACGGAGGGAAACUUUCGCAAUGGGGGGAAAGCCUGAGGAGGAAGCCCGGGGGAGUGGCAGAAGUUUUCCGUGCGGAAAAACUUUUUUUUUGGGAAAAAAAAAUUUGGAAGGUAACUUGGCACGAUUGACGGUAACCUAUAAAAAAGCCCCGGGUAACUACGUG